CCUGUCCCUAGAGGCAAUGAAGUUGCUGUUGCUGGUGUGUCACAUGUGUGUCAGUAGGUGGCUGAGAGGAAAGAGGCUGCGUUUAAGCACUGUGUUCUGACCUGUGAACAUCUGCACGAUUAGUAGCCUAACACU